rnacentral:rRNA from 1 species
GAUGAACGCUAGCGGCAGGCUUAAUACAUGCAAGUCGAGGGGCAGCAGGACUGUAGCAAUACAGUUGCUGGCUACCGCCAAACGGGUGCGGAACACGUACGCAACCUACCCAAAACUGGGGGGUAGCCCGGGGAAACCCGGAUUAAUACCUCGUAACCUUUUUAAUUGGCAUCACUUGAUAAGUAUAGCUCCGUCGGUUUUGGAUGGGCGUGCGCCGGAUUAGGUAGUUGGUGCGGGUAACGGCCCACCAAGCCUGCGAUCAGUAACUGGUGUGAGAGCACGAUCAGUCGACCGGGCACUGAGACACCGGCCCGAGUCCUACGGGAGGCAGCAGUCAGGAAUAGUAGUCAAUGGACGCAAGUCUGAACCAGCCAUGCCGCGUGAAGGAUGAAGGUCCUCUGGAUUGUAAACUUGUUUUAUGGGGGACGAAACCCGGAUAUUCUUAUCCGAUUGACGGUACCUCAGGAAUAAGCACCGGCUAACUCCGUG